UAGAGGAAGUAAAAGUCGUAACAAGGUUUCCGUAGGUGAACCUGCGGAAGGAUCAUUAACGAAUAAUCCAUCCAUUACAAACCCUUUGUGAACCGUCGCCUUAGGGCGUUUUUAUAAACACUUGUUUCAAAAGCAUGUAAUUGUCGCGCAAGCGAUCAUAACCAAAAUAUAACUUUCAGCAACGGAUCUCUUGGCUCUCGCAUCGAUGAAGAACGCAGCGAAAUGCGAUAAGUAAUGUGAAUUGCAGAAUUCAGUGAAUCAUCGAAUCUUUGAACGCACCUUGCGCUCUUUGGUAUUCCGAAGAGCAUGCCUGUUUGAGUGUUGUGCUAUUCAUAAGCCUCGGCUUGAUUUUGGACUUUAUCUUUGCCGGUUCGCCGGCUGGUCCUGAAUGCAUUAGCUUGAACCUUGCUUGCGAUUGGUUUGACUCGGCGUGAUAAGUAUCUUUCGUCGAGGAACGGUCCCUUUACGGGGAUCGGCCAGCUGCUUGUAGGGUUUGCUUUCCAACCGUCUUAGGACACACACUUCCAUUGUGGCUUCAGCCUCAAAUCCA
rnacentral:rRNA from 1 species